rnacentral:rRNA from 1 species
CUGGAGGUAUCAGAAGUGCGAAUGCUGACAUAAGUAACGAUAAAGCGGGUGAAAAGCCCGCUCGCCGGAAGACCAAGGGUUCCUGUCCAACGUUAAUCGGGGCAGGGUGAGUCGACCCCUAAGGCGAGGCCGAAAGGCGUAGUCGAUGGGAAACAGGUUAAUAUUCCUGUACUUGGUGUUACUGCGAAGGGGGGACGGAGAAGGCUAUGUUGGCCGGGCGACGGUUGUCCCGGUUUAAGCGUGUAGGCUGGUUUUCCAGGCAAAUCCGGAAAAUCAAGGCUGAGGCGUGAUGACGAGGCACUACGGUGCUGAAGCAACAAAUGCCCUGCUUCCAGGAAAAGCCUCUAAGCAUCAGGUAACAUCAAAUCGUACCCCAAACCGACACAGGUGGUCAGGUAGAGAAUACCAAGGCGCUUGAGAGAACUCGGGUGAAGGAACUAGGCAAAAUGGUGCCGUAACUUCGGGAGAAGGCACGCUGAUAUGUAGGUGAAGUCCCUCGCGGAUGGAGCUGAAAUCAGUCGAAGAUACCAGCUGGCUGCAACUGUUUAUUAAAAACACAGCACUGUGCAAACACGAAAGUGGACGUAUACGGUGUGACGCCUGCCCGGUGCCGGAAGGUUAAUUGAUGGGGUUAGCCGCAAGGCGAAGCUCUUGAUCGAAGCCCCGGUAAACGGCGGCCGUAACUAUAACGGUCCUAAGGUAGCGAAAUUCCUUGUCGGGUAAGUUCCGACCUGCACGAAUGGCGUAAUGAUGGCCAGGCUGUCUCCACCCGAGACUCAGUGAAAUUGAACUCGCUGUGAAGAUGCAGUGUACCCGCGGCAAGACGGAAAGACCCCGUGAACCUUUACUAUAGCUUGACACUGAACAUUGAGCCUUGAUGUGUAGGAUAGGUGGGAGGCUUUGAAGUGUGGACGCCAGUCUGCAUGGAGCCGACCUUGAAAUACCACCCUUUAAUGUUUGAUGUUCUAACGUUGACCCGUAAUCCGGGUUGCGGACAGUGUCUGGUGGGUAGUUUGACUGGGGCGGUCUCCUCCUAAAGAGUAACGGAGGAGCACGAAGGUUGGCUAAUCCUGGUCGGACAUCAGGAGGUUAGUGCAAUGGCAUAAGCCAGCUUGACUGCGAGCGUGACGGCGCGAGCAGGUGCGAAAGCAGGUCAUAGUGAUCCGGUGGUUCUGAAUGGAAGGGCCAUCGCUCAACGGAUAAAAGGUACUCCGGGGAUAACAGGCUGAUACCGCCCAAGAGUUCAUAUCGACGGCGGUGUUUGGCACCUCGAUGUCGGCUCAUCACAUCCUGGGGCUGAAGUAGGUCCCAAGGGUAUGGCUGUUCGCCAUUUAAAGUGGUACGCGAGCUGGGUUUAGAACGUCGUGAGACAGUUCGGUCCCUAUCUGCCGUGGGCGCUGGAGAACUGAGGGGGGCUGCUCCUAGUACGAGAGGACCGGAGUGGACGCAUCACUGGUGUUCGGGUUGUCAUGCCAAUGGCACUGCCCGGUAGCUAAAUGCGGAAGAGAUAAGUGCUGAAAGCAUCUAAGCACGAAACUUGCCCCGAGAUGAGUUCUCCCUGACCCUUUAAGGGUCCUGAAGGAACGUUGAAGACGACGACGUUGAUAGGCCGGGUGUGUAAGCGCAGCGAUGCGUUGAGCUAACCGGUACUAAUGAACCGUGAGGCUUAACCUUACAACGCCGAAGCUGUU